GCUCGCUUGUGGGUGUAUGGUGGUCAGCGCCAGGGACAAGUUUGUUUAUCUGAGUGUGUGGAUGGUUUUCAGCACCAAGGGCAAGUAUGCUCGCUU
rnacentral:pre_miRNA from 1 species